ACGAGGCUUUUUAAGAAGCUUGCUUCUUGAAAGACCGAGUGGCAAACGGGUGAGUAACGCGUAAACAACCUGCCCUCAGGAUGGGGACAACAGCUGGAAACGGCUGCUAAUACCGAAUACGAUCAAUCGGCCGCAUGGCCGGAUGAUGAAAGGAUGGCCUCUAUAUAUAAGCUAUCGCCGGAGGAGGGGUUUGCGUCUGAUUAGCUAGUUGGAGGGGUAACGGCCCACCAAGGCGACGAUCAGUAGCCGGUCUGAGAGGACGAACGGCCACAUUGGAACUGAGACACGGUCCAGACUCCUACGGGAGGCAGCAGUGGGGAAUCUUCCGCAAUGGGCGAAAGCCUGACGGAGCAACGCCGCGUGAGUGAAGACGGCCUUCGGGUUGUAAAGCUCUGUUAUAUGGGACGAACGUAUUUAUGGUCAAUACCCAUAGAUAGUGACGGUACCGUAAGAGAAAGCCACGGCUAACUACGUGCCAGCAGCCGCGGUAAUACGUAGGUGGCAAGCGUUGUCCGGAAUUAUUGGGCGUAAAGGGCGCGCAGGCGGCCUGUCAAGUCUGUCUUAAAAGUGCGGGGCUCAACCCCGUGAUGGGACGGAAACUGGCAGGCUGGAGUGUCGGAGAGGAAAGCAGAAUUCCUAGUGUAGCGGUGAAAUGCGUAGAUAUUAGGAGGAAUACCAGUGGCGAAAGCGGCUUUCUGGACGACAACUGACGCUGAGGCGCGAAAGCCAGG
rnacentral:rRNA from 1 species